UGGAAACUGGUAGGUAGCAAGACAGUAGGCAAAAGGGAGCAUUAACAAUUUGCCCAUGAGCAUGAUCUUGCUUUAGUUUAACUGCUCCCAUGAAUAGUUGGUUAUUCUUGCACUUAAGAGCCACUGCUUCACAUGUAGUUUUUCCAUAGGUCAGGUGUGAGUUGUUUUUCAGCCUAGUUUGCUGAGGAAGUGAGGCUCUGCAGUCCUGCUGCAGGUAUCUGUGUUAGUCCCUCUGCAGCAGUUCAACCUGCAGGAUGGUUCAGUCAAGCUUAAAAGUAGGGUAGAGAGCUCAGAAGACAAAACCUUCCGUAGUAGUCCCAGGGACAAAAUACAGCCCCUGAACCUAUUUGUUUAUCUACCAGAAGAUGAGAGACUUGGCUGCCAGGAAAGCCAACUGAAAAUCAGCAUUUACAGAAUGAUUACUGACAAAGGAUAUUUAGACAGACAGGUUGACUUUAAGGAUGAGUCAUUCAUAUACAAAUGCUCUUUCAUAUUGUCUGUGCUGGAGCUGCUCCGUGGGAUUGGUGAUCCUGUACGGGCCCAGGCUGACAGACCAUAAGGGAACAGUUCCCAUGCACAUGGGACUCCCAUACCACUCACAAUGACAGAGGACCAUAGCGAGGAAAAAGAAGAGCCUGGGGACAGCUUCUGGGACACACAGCAACCUCUGCUUAUAGGACAUGCCUUCCAGUCCUUUUACCUGCUUUGUUGCCAUCCUCUGGUACAUUCAAGUACCUUCUUACAUCCUUUUUAGGUUCUUGAGACCGGAACUAUACACAAUAUUCAAAGGAUAAAUAAGUCCUCAUUGACAGGUAGAAUACCUGUGCAUAUCACAGAUAUCUCUAUGAACGAGACGAGCAUACAAUAAGAUCAUUUCUAAAGAGUCAGAUGUAGACUAAGCUGACUGACAAAGUCUGGAUGCUUCGCAGCAUUCAUGGUGGUAAGAAUUAUCCAAAGAGAGAAUGUGAGUACCUACAACGAGUUUACUUUCUGGAUCCAGAUACCCUUUUUUUCUUUGCUACUUUUGAUAUUCUGUAUUCCUACAUAACCUGAAUAAAGUACUACAUACUCUUUUAUAUGGUUACCUU
rnacentral:lncRNA from 1 species